rnacentral:rRNA from 1 species
GAUGAACGCUGGCGGCGUGCCUAAUACAUGCAAGUCGAGCGAACAGAUAAGGAGCUUGCUCCUUUGACGUUAGCGGCGGACGGGUGAGUAACACGUGGGUAACCUACCUAUAAGACUGGGAUAACUUCGGGAAACCGGAGCUAAUACCGGAUAACAUUUGGAACCGCAUGGUUCUAAAGUGAAAGAUGGUUUUGCUAUCACUUAUAGAUGGACCCGCGCCGUAUUAGCUAGUUGGUAAGGUAACGGCUUACCAAGGCGACGAUACGUAGCCGACCUGAGAGGGUGAUCGGCCACACUGGAACUGAGACACGGUCCAGACCCCUACGGGAGGCAGCAGUAGGGAAUCUUCCGCAAUGGGCGAAAGCCUGACGGAGCAACGCCGCGUGAGUGAUGAAGGGUUUCGGCUCGUAAAACUCUGUUAUUAGGGAAGAACAAUUGUGUAAGUAACUGUGCACGUCUUGACGGUACCUAAUCAGAAAGCCACGGCUAACUACGUG